rnacentral:rRNA from 1 species
GAUAUGGCCCAGGAUGAACGCUAGCGAUAGGCUUAACGCAUGCAAGUCGAGGGGCAGCACGGUGUAGCAAUACACUGGUGGCGACCGGCGUACGGGUGCGUAACACGUAUGCAACCUACCCGCUAUUGGGGGAUAACCCGGCGAAAGUCGGACUAAUACCCCAUAUUAUUCUUACCGGGCAUCCGGUAGGUCUGAAAGAUUUAUCGAUUGCGGAUGGGCAUGCGGAUGAUUAGCUAGUAGGUGGGGUAACGGCUCACCUAGGCGACGAUCAUUAGGGGUUCUGAGAGGAAGGUCCCCCCACACUGGAACUGAGACACGGUCCAGACUCCUACGGGAGGCAGCAGUGAGGAAUAUUGGUCAAUGGGCGCUAGCCUGAACCAGCCAAGUCGCGUGAAGGAUGAACCAGAUCUAUGGUUUGUAAACUUCUUUUGCAGGGGAGUAAAGUGCGACACGUGUGUUGUAUUGCAAGUACCCUGCGAAUAAGCAUCGGCUAACUCCGUGCCAGCCGCCGC